UACGGAGGGAGGCUAGCGUUGUUCCGGAUUUAUUGGGCGUAAAGAGCGUGUAGGCGGCCAGGUAGGUCUGCUGUGAAAACUCGAGGCUCAACCUCGAGCUGUCGGCGGAAACCAUCUGGCUAGAGUCCGGAAGAGGAGAGUGGAAUUCCUGGUGUAGCGGUGAAAUGCGCAGAUAUCAGGAAGAACACCCGUGGCGAAGGCGGCUCUCUGGGACGGUACUGACGCUGAGACGCGAAAGCGUGGGGAGCGAACAGG
rnacentral:rRNA from 1 species